rnacentral:rRNA from 1 species
GAUGAACGCUGGCGGCGUGCCUAAUACAUGCAAGUCGAGCGAACAGAUAAGGAGCUUGCUCCUUUGAAGUUAGCGGCGGACGGGUGAGUAACACGUGGGUAACCUACCUAUAAGACUGGGAUAACUUCGGGAAACCGGAGCUAAUACCGGAUAACAUUUAGAACCGCGUGGUUCUAAAGUGAAAGAUGGUUUUGCUAUCACUUAUAGAUGGACCCGCGCCGUAUUAGCUAGUUGGUAAGGUAACGGCUUACCAAGGCGACGAUACGUAGCCGACCUGAGAGGGUGAUCGGCCACACUGGAACUGAGACACGGUCCGGACUCCUACGGGAGGCAGCAGUAGGGAAUCUUCCGCAAUGGGCGAAAGCCUGACGGAGCAACGCCGCGUGAGUGAUGAAGGGUUUCGGCUCGUAAAACUCUGUUAUUAGGGAAGAACAAAUGUGUAAGUAACUGUGCACAUCUUGACGGUACCUAAUCAGAAAGCCACGGCUAACUACGUGCCAGCAGCCGCGGUAAUACGUAGGUGGCAAGCGUUAUCCGGAAUUAUUGGGCGUAAAGCGCGCGUAGGCGGUUUCUUAAGUCUGAUGUGAAAGCCCACGGCUCAACCGUGGAGGGUCAUUGGAAACUGGGAAACUUGAGUGCAGAAGAGGAAAGUGGAAUUCCAUGUGUAGCGGUGAAAUGCGCAGAGAUAUGGAGGAACACCAGUGGCGAAGGCGACUUUCUGGUCUGUAACUGACGCUGAUGUGCGAAAGCGUGGGGAUCAAACAGGAUUAGAUACCCUGGUAGUCCACGCCGUAAACGAUGAGUGCUAAGUGUUAGGGGGUUUCCGCCCCUUAGUGCUGCAGCUAACGCAUUAAGCACUCCGCCUGGGGAGUACGACCGCAAGGUUGAAACUCAAAGGAAUUGACGGGGACCCGCACAAGCGGUGGAGCAUGUGGUUUAAUUCGAAGCAACGCGAAGAACCUUACCAAAUCUUGACAUCCUUUGAAAACUCUAGAGAUAGAGCCUUCCCCUUCGGGGGACAAAGUGACAGGUGGUGCAUGGUUGUCGUCAGCUCGUGUCGUGAGAUGUUGGGUUAAGUCCCGCAACGAGCGCAACCCUUAAGCUUAGUUGCCAUCAUUAAGUUGGGCACUCUAGGUUGACUGCCGGUGACAAACCGGAGGAAGGUGGGGAUGACGUCAAAUCAUCAUGCCCCUUAUGAUUUGGGCUACACACGUGCUACAAUGGACAAUACAAAGGGCAGCUAAACCGCGAGGUCAUGCAAAUCCCAUAAAGUUGUUCUCAGUUCGGAUUGUAGUCUGCAACUCGACUACAUGAAGCUGGAAUCGCUAGUAAUCGUAGAUCAGCAUGCUACGGUGAAUACGUUCCCGGGUCU